UCAGUCCAUUGUAGUCACACUUUUUGUAGCUUUCUUUUUUUUAUCAUGUUUUUCAUUGACGUUAUUGCUACAUCACCGCAAAGUUUAGAUAUCCUAGCCAUUUUUCUUUCAGACAUUCCAUGUGCAUGCAUGCCUUGGACAACGUCAGGCCGGUCAGUCACUCAGAGUGUCAUGUUGGAUGCCAGUAUGACAGGUUCCCGAGGACAGCACUGCACGUUAGUGGACUAGACUGUCAGAUAUCAAGGCAGAGUGCAACGCGACAUCAAAACGCCUUUUUGUUUUCCUGUUGUCGCUGCUUUGCAGUUGUGUAAUUAAUGGAUAAUAAAGAGCACUCUUUUUCCCUCUGUGCCGCAACCUUCACAGGAGCUUAUUAUAUCUAAUGUAUUAUGUCUAAUUGUAUAACUUAUCUAAUACAUUUUUGUUUGCUGUUAAGACAGGAUGUAAGAAACACAUACCAAAGUCAAGACCGAAGCUUUUCUGCAUUGUCUAUAUACAAUUUAAACAUGCCCAAAGUCUACAUGUGCAUACAGAGAAUCUAUUUGAAACCAGUUCAAAUCAAGACUUACCAAAACAAAACGGCAUCCACAUCAGGUUUACACUGAGCAUGUAGAAGAUUUCAUGCUAAAGAUAAUUUUGUCAGCCAACUAAAACACUUUCAUGUACUGAAACCCUGAAUCUUCCCCCCCAUAUUAAAGUAUACCUGAUUAUAAAGUUCAUAUGUUUAAAAAAAGAAUUCUUUAUGGUCAUUUAUAUUUACUUUCUUGUAUUAAUUCCUGCAUUUUCUUACUUUUGAGGACUUUACUUUUUCUUUUCAAAUGUUCCAAACAUACCAUAUAAUUUUUCCACAUAGCAAAACCACACAAGCUUUCAAAAAACAAAAUUUCCUUCUCAAUUACUUUAUUUUUUGCUUUAGGUGGGGUGGCAUUGAGGCUGAAAGGGUUUCAAACAAAAAGAUGACAAGCCAAACAUCAAAUACAUGAGCAGCUCUGAACAAUGCUUUUGUAUAAAGAUUGCAGAGUUUCCAUCUGAAUUAUUACAUAAAUGAGGAAAAAUAUUUUCAUCGUUAUCAUCACCACACAGUCAGAUGCUUACAAAUAUUCUUUACAAUGCACAAAGUGAAAAAUUAGACUAACAAAACUUUGCUUAUGUUCACAAAUAAAUCUGUGUUACUAGUUCCAUGUUUAAUAUAAUUUUUGUGUUGGAAAUCCUGAAAAAUGCUAUAUAGUGAGUGCAUAGUCCUGUUGUAUUUUCAAGGAUUUGCAAUAGAAAACACAUAUUUACAUGUUACAGUAUCCCUUUACCAAUUCAGGUGCCUUUCUUAACGUAAGUUGUUUUUAUGUAUUAUAUUGUUAGUAAAAUCAAGCUGUAUGAGUUCAGAUUUGAGAUAUGUACACACUGUACACAUCUACAUGACAUUUUAAUUUGUACAACCUCAAUAGAGGAUGUUGAAGAAUAAUAAAUAAUACAUAUAUUCAAAGCACCUUUGGUAAAGUGAUACCUUUUGCUCCUUUGUCAAACCACGUGUAUUUAAUAGAUCUCAUAUGACUUCCGUGUGCUUCAGACUUGUUGGAUUGCAUUCUGCUGUCUUUGAGGGUUUACCUGAUGUUGUCCUCUGACAUUAAAUCCAUAAGAAAAAA